UACGAAGGGGGCUAGCGUUGUUCGGAAUUACUGGGCGUAAAGCGCGCGUAGGCGGACAUUUAAGUCAGGGGUGAAAUCCCAGGGCUCAACCCUGGAACUGCCUUUGAUACUGGAUGUCUGGAGUUCGGGAGAGGUGAGUGGAAUUCCGAGUGUAGAGGUGAAAUUCGUAGAUAUUCGGAGGAACACCAGAAGCGAAGGCGGCUCACUGGCCCGAUACUGACGCUGAGGUGCGAAAGCGUGGGGAGCAAACAGG
rnacentral:rRNA from 1 species